UUGAACACGAUGAUAGGAAUAAAGGAAUAAGUUCUUGUAUUCCCAGAGAGCCGGGGUUGCUGGAAGCCCGGAAAUACAUCUUAUUCUGACAUCAUCCUUGAGUGUCCGCGCUGAACGUGAAUCUAGUAGGCGGGACCAGGUGUUUCACCGCACCUGUUAUCAAAAGGAGUUGAUUAGACUCCAUGAGGUGAAGCUUAAAUAGCUUCACGAAUGAGGGUGGUACCGUGGAAGUAAAGAGAGACCUUUUCACCCCUCAC
rnacentral:ncRNA from 1 species